rnacentral:rRNA from 1 species
UGGCGGCAUGCUUUACACAUGCAAGUCGAGCGGCAGCGCGGGGGCAACCCUGGCGGCGAGCGGCGAACGGGUGAGUAAUGCAUAGGAACGUGCCUGGUUGUGGGGGAUAACGCGUCGAAAGAUGUGCUAAUACCGCAUGAGAUCCAAGGAUGAAAGUGGGGGACCCGCAAGGGCCUCACGCGAUCAGAGCGGCCGAUGUCCGAUUAGCUAGUUGGUGGGGUAAAGGCCCACCAAGGCUACGAUCGGUAGCCGGUCUGAGAGGAUGAUCAGCCACACUGGGACUGAGACACGGCCCAGACUCCUACGGGAGGCAGCAGUGGGGAAUUUUGGACAAUGGGGGCAACCCUGAUCCAGCCAUGCCGCGUGAGUGAAGAAGGCCUUCGGGUUGUAAAGCUCUUUCGGUGGGAACGAAACGGGCGUGGUUAAUAACUGCGUUCACUGACGGUACUCACAGAAGAAGCACCGGCUAACUACGUGCCAGCAGCCGCGGUAAUACGUAGGGUGCAGGCGUUAAUCGGAAUUACUGGGCGUAAAGGGUGCGCAGGCGGUUUUGUAAGUCAGGCGUGAAAGCCCCGGGCUUAACCUGGGAAAUGCGUUUGAGACUGCAAGGCUAGAGUGUGUCAGAGGGGGGUGGAAUUCCACGUGUAGCAGUGAAAUGCGUAGAGAUGUGGAGGAACACCGAUGGCGAAGGCAGCCCCCUGGGAUAACACUGACGCUCGGGCACGAAAG